AUCAAUGAAAGAAAAGUGUAGCGGAAAGCCAAGUAUACUUCUCAUUUUUUAUACUUUGUCACAAUGUCGGAUAUUGACGAAAAUGAUAAUAUUGAUAUUGAUGACGAGGUUUUAAUUGCAAUUGUGCAACAAAAUCCUUGUUUGUAUGCAAAAAGUGACGCAAAUUAUAAAGAUUAUAAAGUGAAAGAAAUGAAGUGGGAAACGAUUGCUGAGUCUCUGAAUUGCACAGCCAAUGAAGCUAAAAAGCGUUGGGAUUCCUUAAGGAGUGAAAUUUAGCAGAAAGUUGCGACAGCAGAAAAUACAGCCAUCGGAUUCUGGUGUAAUGCCAGAAUGGCCCUUUAUGUCAUGCAUGUCAUUUCUAAAAUCUCAUAUUCAAAACAGAAAAACAAGAAGUUCGACAUUACUACGCACUACAUCCUCUACAUGUAGUGAACUCUCUAAUAGUUGCUCAAUUAAUUAAUUCAUCUGUUCGUCAAUCACCUGCUUCUGUUCAUCAGUUAUCUACUUCUGUUGGUCAAUCACCUACUUCUGUUCGUCAAUCAUCUACUUCUAUUUAUCAAUCAUCUACUUUUGUCACUGCAACUCCAUCAUGUUCGACUUCAAGCACUCAGUUUUUUAGACUUUCUGAUUGGUACGAUGAUUCUAAUGCAUCAUUA